rnacentral:ncRNA from 2 species
CCUACACAUCUUGUAUCAGGUGCCCUUCACAGGGUGAAACGGGAAACCGGUGCGUCAGGCGUUAAUUGUCCGACCAGUCCGGUGCUGCCCCCGCAACGGUAAGCGAGAGAAACAUCACAACCACUGUGCACCCUGCAUGGGAAGGAGAUGUUUGCAGGCCCACACCACGUGAGCCCCUCGCAAGCCCGGAGACCGGCCUGGUCAUUACCAAUAAC